AUUUUAUAUGAAAGACAUCUGUGAAAAAUUGUUGAACGUCGAUGGUCUAAGAGCAUCUCCAUCAGUAGUAUCUUGGAGAGUAUCUGGUGAUUGAAAAAAUAUAAAAUAAUGAAAAAGUAGGAGAAAGAGUUAGAGACGUUUCUGGUUUGAGAAAUUUAGAGAGACUGUCUUUCCACGUGUCUCUAUAUUAUUGGUCGAAUUCUCUUUUUAUAGUUUAAAAUU
rnacentral:sRNA from 1 species